rnacentral:lncRNA from 1 species
GCCGGGAUGCCGAUGCUACUUCUGCGAGCCACGGCCCGCCUCGCUUCCAGAGAGAAGAAAGAACAACAACAGGCAAGACGUCUAGAAUACCCGCGCCACCCGUCAUUCAUAAUCCGGCGGACCGGAAGCCGAUGGGUUACGUCACUUCCUUCUGUCUCACUGCCAAACGUUUCCCUCGCCUCUUCUGCGGGAACCUUUGUUUUACCUCUUUCGGAGCCGGCUGAUGCGCGGACCGGUUCGAAAGAAGCUACCGGGAACGGACCGAGUGGCGGGGCGGAGCGCUUCUCUACAGUUUGACUAAUUUUGGAUUCGGGGCCUUUUUCGCCUGUCCUGCGUUUCCAGACGUAUCUCUGAGGCGUUAAUGUAAUUCAAGGCUGAGUACUCCGUGGAGGAAUGUAAGGGAGCAUCUUUAAAAGAAUAUUUAUCGAAAAGGAUUGCAAAAGCGUUGCAAAGACAUAAACAGAAAGGUUUCCCAGACCCGUCGUGAGAUAGUAGCUGUAUUAUUGCAUUCUGCAUGAAUUGAGUCAUUUUUGUUUAUCUUGUGCACAUGCAGAUGAUCAACUUUGAGCUGAUUCUGAGAUUAUCAUGUAGGCUGGAAAAUGAGGUCUAGGAAAU